AGUGUUGGGUCAGUCCAUCUGAGCACUGUGCUCCAUUGAGCCUCGGGCAUGGGGAGGAGCUGGCUGGCUGGGGCUGCAGGAGCCCUGCUGCUGUUGGGCUGCAUUGAGUGAUUUUCCCCCACCAGCUCUCCUACCAAACAUCUCCUCAGCUCAGGAAGGCAAUCUGGUGCUCGCCCGCUGCCUGGUUUUCUCCCAUCUCCCCAUCACCCACAUCUUCUUCUGCAAGAACGGAGUGGUGCUGGAGAACCACCCCGUGGGUCCCAAGGAAUUCACAGCCACACUCACCAUCCGGCUUUCUGCGGAGAGCAGUGGCACCUACUCCUGUGGGUACCGACGGCAAAGCAACGUUGGGCACAUCAAGAUCUCAAGUUUGAGCAUCCCAUGGCUCCUGACCAUCGAAGGUAGGAAGGGGGAGCUGAGGAACAGCAGCAGCACCGCCACCACCACCCCAGAGCUGCCAGCUGAAGGAAAGCGAGUCCAGCUGGCCAGCUUGAAGCAUUUCGUUCAUCCCCCAGUGGAAGAGCCCAGCGUUUCACAGAGGAAGAGUCCUCCAGGAUCUCUUGCAUCUGGAUGACUUCUUGUUGGACCACAGACGUGCUCUUGGAUGUGAAUAUUGCAGCCCUCAAUGGACAUAGCAGGGGGAAUUGGCCCAAGACAGAAUCCCUUAGGCUCAACACCAGCUGCUCUGCAUAGGCAAGAACCAACAGCACCUCUCCAGAUGUUCCAGUGCCAUAGCAACAGCUCUUGGACGUGGAAGUCCAUCAAUUAAUUAAAAAGUUGAUUUCCUCUCUU
rnacentral:lncRNA from 7 species